rnacentral:misc_RNA from 1 species
CAGCUCGGCGGUUUAGACUCC